UACGUAGGGUGCGAGCGUUAAUCGGAAUUACUGGGCGUAAAGCGUGCGCAGGCGGUUUGUUAAGACCGAUGUGAAAUCCCCGGGCUUAACCUGGGAACUGCAUUGGUGACUGGCAGGCUUUGAGUGUGGCAGAGGGAGGUAGAAUUCCACGUGUAGCAGUGAAAUGCGUAGAGAUGUGGAGGAAUACCGAUGGCGAAGGCAGCCUCCUGGGCCAACACUGACGCUCAUGCGCGAAAGCGUGGGGAGCAAACAGG
rnacentral:rRNA from 1 species